GAAAUAUACAAAAAUAAGCUUCUAACUUAAUUAAAAGCACUUAGUGUUUAUAUUUCU
rnacentral:tRNA from 1 species